UUGAUUCAUGAGUCAAGUCUAAUCAAUAACUUGAUCUUCGAUUCUUCACCGCGACAAAAAUGGUGACUUCACUGGGGAGGGCUAUUAAGUGGGUGAUACCUAACUUGUUUAUAUGUUUUUAUUUUUUUUUCUAUGUUUUAUUGGGCUUUAUUAUGGAGAUCCAUAAGUGGUGAGGAAAUCCUAAUCCGGAUUAGAGAAUACAAAUAAGAUAGGAUGGUGGUAUAAUCAAAGUUACAUGUC
rnacentral:lncRNA from 1 species